CCCAUUUAAGUGCUGACUGCCACUGAGGAUGGCUCUCUUUCUGGAGAUUGCUCCUCAUGGAUUUUUUUGCAAGCCUACCGUACUGGUAGCACUGAUGGCAUACUGCACGGCCAUGCUUAUCGCACGCGCUGCACAUUCCCUCUGCCACCAGCAGCUGCACACACUGUGCUCCCAGCGUGUUGGGCUCCUCUGGCUCCAGUGUUUCGCACCGUGCCCGCCUGCAUGCAGAUAUUGCUGAGAAGUCUCCUCUUCGAGAAUUCCCGCCUUCGUUUCUCCAAACAAACAGGUGAAACCCUUCCCAUCGGAACAGCCCCGUUGGCAGUAGGGCUUUCAUACACAGUGCCAGCGCGCGUGGCACAGCACUGUCCCAGCAGUCACAGGGUGAGUUGAGUCUGUGCCAUGCAAGCACAACGAUGGAGAGUGGCUGGUUGAUAAAUAUCCCCUUUCAAAAUGAGAACUUGAGAUUCCGAGCCAUCCAGGGAGGUCAGUUCUUGUUUUUAAGCAAAGCUUAAGAGAAUUCAUUGUGCUGUGCACAGAUGAAAUUCCUGCCUGAUCCCAGCCUGGUUCGACUCACACCAGUUAUGGGCUUUAAUUGACUUUUUCUGGAAACUGGAUUUCAUAUGUAACUACAUACGUGAUGAGUGAAGUUCUUUAAUGGAUGAAAGUGAGUACUAUUGGUGAUAAUGGAUUUUAGUGAGUACUCUUGUGAUAGGUGGAUGGUUGGACUGGAUGAUCUUGAAGGUCUUUUCCAACCUUAGUGAUUCUGUGAUUCUGUGAAAAGACUUUACGUCUUGGGGCCUUAUGUAGCAGUACCAGAGAUAUUAUGGUGGUAUAACUACUUUACAUAACUGUGUGAGUGAUGGCAAAUUACGGUGAUAGGGGUAUUGCUAUGGGGUGGGGAGAGGGGUGGGAAUAAUUUCCUUGAAGGUAAUAUUAUGUUAUUGGGAGCUGUGAGAAGGUAGACAGUAAAGCAGUACAAGAGAUUUAUAUGUAUUAAGAAGUCUGAUACACUGCAUUUGAAGUUGAUGGGUUUAGCUAUUAGCUGCGAGGAUAUUUCCUCCUUGUUCAAGUUUUGAGCAAGGUGAGAAGCAGUGUCCCAGUUAUAAGGGGCUUUGCAUCUUCAUUGCAGGUUUGGCUAAGUAGUCACACCAACAUAAACCAAACAUACCCAUUUUUUAAGGAGAAACUGAUAUACUUUGAACUCCAAUUAGUGGUCUAUUGCCUCAGGGAGGAGAACUUAGGCACAUACCUGCCAGCAAAAAAGUGCAGACUGAAAAAUGCCCAGCAUGAACUCGUAACUGAAAAGGUUGAAACUGAUGGCCAGGUCUCAUUCUGUUGACUUGAGGUUAGACAUCAUUUGGCCAACUCAGAGGUCACUGAAUCCCUUGAGUCUGCUCAGGUAUCAACCCCAGCAAUGCUUCUCCCCACAUUUAAAUUAGAGCAGAACCUUGUGUCUAUCAGGGCUGUGAAGAGGACUUUUGAUGCUCUGUGCAUGGUGGGACUAAUGACCUCAAGCGUAGACAUGAGGUUAGGGAUGCAACUUGUGAGCAGUCAGACUUACCUGCAGAGUAAGUCUUACAUUUCAGCCAUUAAAUAAUUGCAGCAAAAUGCUCAACGCCUGUCUACACCCAGAGAAUUGCUUACUAAAACUAUUCAGUAAAUAAUUGUGAAUAAUGAUUCCAUCAAAGGAAAUUGCAUACUGAAAAAGGUGUGAAAUCCAGUAGAUGAAUUAUUCACUUCAAUUUAUUUGUUCAGCCAAACUACUAAAGAGUAGAAAUAAGGACUUCAGAGGACAUGGGAAGACACAGGGACAGUGUAAAAUGGCAAGAGAAUGUAAAGUAGCCCCAGGGCUGGGGAGGAACUUGUCCACUUGUGAUGCAUCCGGGUGCCGGGCUGAACUUCUGGGUGUAGGUAUGCACGUGUUCUGUGACAUACAGCUUAAAUGGCCUUUAUAUACUUUUUGGUGCUUGAUAACGAGAUGGAGAGGAGAAUGUAUUUCCAAGUCAUCUCCUUGAAGCAUUUUGUGUUGUAAGCGUAUAAAGCAGUUUGACUCAACUACAUCAAUUUAAUUUGUGAUGAGCCCAGUGCCCCCAGAGAUGUGUGUGAUGUUGGCUUGGCUGUUACGGGAUUUCACUCCUCAGACAGUUUUGUAUAUCUGAUGAGCUUCAUGUUAAAAGAGGAUGAGUUUAAAAAACAUGAAAAACUUUGAUGAAGUAAUGUGCAAGAAAAACAUCUGUUCUUUUUAGAGACAAUGUCCCUUUGCCAAAGCACAGUCAUCUAUAAAAUACCCACUCAGUACCCCUUGCUUCUGUUGUAAUCAGAAGCUCCAAAUUUCAUAAAUGUUCCUGAUUUAUCCAAUGGGAUGGUGAAAGGUUCAAAGUUGGAAGAGAUUUCUAGUGCUAUAUUUUGCCUAAAAGUCCUUUGCUGUAAAAUUUGGGUGUGCUUUAAGCGAGCCAUGCUCCCCCUGAUACAUCUUUCUUAGGGAUGCUGAAAAUAAUUUAUAAAUGGUCACUGGGAACAGGAGCUUGAACAUUAGGAAAACAUUUCUUCUCCAAAAGAGUGAUUGUGCACUAGAACAGAUUGCCCGGGGAGGUGGGGGAGUCAACGUCCCUGCAGGUAUUCAAGAACUGUGGAGAUACGGUGCUUAGGGACAGGGUUUAGUGGGCAAUAUUGGUGAUAGGUGGGUGGUUGGAUCAGAUGAUCUUAGAUGCCUUUUCCAACCUUAAUGAUUGCAUGGUUCUUUCUCUCUGGGUCAUAAAAAGAUUUUCUGAAAAGAGCAAUGCUGAAGAAAAUCUUUAAAGCAAAUUCUCAUUGACCACAGUCUUCCAGGUUCUGUGCAGUGAAGACAAAGCUUCCAAACGUGAUAUCCAGCAUUGGGGCAGGAAUUCGAAUAGGAAGCUGUGGGGUUCUAAAUGCAGAAAGCUGGUCCAAAUGUAUUGUCCAGAUUAUCUGUUGUUGUUGUUGGUUUGUUUUGUUUUUCUUUCCUGCAGCCUCUUGCCAUGCUUUGCAAGAAAAAAAAAAAAAAAAUUAAACAUAUUUCAGAGUCAUUGAACUGUGCUCACAUUAACUUACACUAAAAUUAUUUUUAAUUAAAUGAACUUCCCCUGUUUGUAGCUGGAAGGUACUUAUGUGAGAUAAAAACUCCAUUCUAAUAAGGCUGAGCCUCACUGCCACUUAAUUAGCACCAGGACUGAUGGCAGAGGCAGCGGGCGGGGGCUGCCAGGUCUGGGGGAGCUGCUCCCUCCCCAGCAGCCCCGGCCGCACGGCACGCCGGGAACAGAGCACGACCAGUGUUUGACACAGUUUAUGGCAAAAGCAAUUAUAAUUAACAUUAUAUUAAAUAUUAAGUCAAGAUCAUAAAAUGUUGAUUGGUGCUGAUUAGCUGCAUAAUCCAUAAUUAGAAAUCACUGCACCCUUCACCAGGUAGUGUAGUGCUUCGCUUAUGAUUUCACUGCUAAAUUAAAUGACUGAUUCAGCUUUUGCCCUGAGUUUUAUUAUAAUUUAGGUCAGAACCACAUUCCAGUGAAGCAAGACACAAGCCCUCUUCCUGCUGAGGAUGCUCCCAACACUCCAUCCCAAGCUCAGCUUUUUUAUGUCUUUACAUCUAUUUUAUCAGUGAUGGCCUUGGCUGCAGACUUGUCCACAACUUUCCAUUUAAUUUUUGUAUGAAUUUUUUGUAUUUCCGUAGAAUGUUUUUGCCAAAAUCUGCUGUAGCCUGGCCAUUGGGAGAACAUGAAGCACAACAGCUCCUCACAGUGCUGCAGGCACUUGAGGCUGGGCAGAGCCCAGGACACGCAGUUGAUGAAAUCAUUGCAAUCGUGAUGCUCCACUGAUUCAAACUAACCAAUGUUUUGGCUAAAUGACAGAGAAAGCAGCCUUGCAGAGGGCGUGCAGCCAGGAGGCAACAGGGCUGCUAGCCAGGCAGAGAGAAAUGCAAGAUUCCCUGCAGCUGGCAUCAUAGGAUGCCCCCACCAGAUCAGGCUGCUUGGAGCUCCAUCCAACCUGGCCUUGAGCACCUCCAGGUAUGAGGCACCUACAUCUGUGUAUAUCAGUGGUUAUAUUUUGAUGUAAAAUAUGGUGUUAAGCUUGCAAAUCUUCUCUCCUUCUUUUAUGGGAUGGGAUAGGGAAGAUAUACUCUGAUGUAUAAAAAGGAGAAUUUCCUCCCUAUGUGUUAGGCAGGAUGCGAUGCUGCAUCCCAGUAUAAAACCGUAUUCACAUCCACAGCACAGCCCUCAUCUCCUGCCUGUGAUAUGUAGAGGAUCUUUCCAUCCAGCAGACAGCUUUGUGGCUCAUCUCAGAGCAAAGCUGUCUAUUUUUGCCUGCAGAACCAAUGCAUUAACAUGGAGGAGUGGCACCAACAAGAAUCGCUGGAGCUGCUGCCCGGCACCCAGUCCCCUAUUUCUCCUUCAAAUCUUUUUUUCCCAAUUAAAUUAAUUUAAAAUGAAUGAAAAAAUGCGUCAUGCCCUAAGAUCCUGAAAGCUCUGGUGUCAGCUGAAAGCAGCAUUCCUGCUCCCAGCUGCAGCCCUCGCUGCAGGCACCUCUGCUUUGAAGCCUUUGAAGUGGCUGUGGCACAGGCAAGGCUCUCUGUGGAGAAAGGCAGUCAUUUUAUAUAUAUUUAAUGUGUAAAGUGUGGGUGUUUGUGUUAGCAUAACCGAUUCUCACAAUGCACAGAGAAUGUUGUGGAAGAGUUCUUGACCUGCAGAACCAAAUUGCAGGAAAAAACCCCCAGCGGUCAUGGUAGGAUGGGUCCUUCCCACCCCAAAUUGUAUAAAUUGGGUAAGUGAAGCCAGACAGCUGCAGAUGAAAGCAUGAAAAGUGCUUCUUUGGUGCUCAUUUUAUAGAUGAAUUUAUUGUUUAUAAGAGCGAGUGACUGAAACAUUUCUUCCAGCAUUGGGAUUUACUUUUAGUGGAAAGAAUGCUGUUGGGAUGUGAUGCAAGAACAAUGCAAUAAAUGUGAUUAAUGGUUGGUUUUUGGAGCUAAUUACUGGGCUCACUUGGUAAUGACCUUGAUCCUAGGAGCGCUGUGUGUGGCUUGGGAGGCAGACUGUGUGUGAGAGAUGAUCUGAUAUAUGGUUGUAUGUGAGCGAAGGACCCACCUCAGCAAUCACUGGCACUAAUUCAGUGGUUGAUUUGUCUAAAUUGAUAAAUUUCCCUACGGUUUAUUUAUUAUUUUUUUUUCAAGGAGAGAUUCAAAAUUGAUGCCUCUAUUUCAGAACCAACACCAUUUAUUCACCACACACCACGAUCACUCCAGCCUGUAAAGGACAAGGUUUCAGCUCCAGCUCCUCAACCAUCUCAUUGCAUGCCAUCAGAGCAACAGUGCCGUGUGCUCUGGUGAAUGACUCCUCCAACAGACUGUUUUUCUUCUCGGCAUUCGUCGCUUGCUCUUAUAUUUAUUUAUUUAUUUACUUACUUACUUACUUAUUUAUUUACUUAUUUAUUUUAUCUAUCUAUUUAUUUUCUUGCUUUUAUGAAGCCAUCAUUAAUCUAAUCAGUGAAUGUCGCACAAGAAUAUUUUCUCUUUUUUGCAGACCCUAACGCUUAUCAAACUUCGGUCUACUCUUGCACAACUAAACAUUCUGUAUCUACCAUUUGGGUUAAUUAGAGUGCAUCCUUUACAGCUCUGAUAACAAUCAGUAUUGUACCAUCAUACAUAGCAUCUUUUGGAUUCAGGAAAGAGUUUGUGCGACUAAGAAAUAUGAAGUUCUAGAAGAUGAGAGCAUCACAUGCACUCAUUACAGCUCUGGAGAUAAAUGCAGCACCUUCAAUACACCUUAAAAAUAGAUAAUUGUUUUGAAGAGGUGGAGAGUAUUCAUGGGAAAGAGAUGAGAAGGAAGAAAGAAGAUCCUCUGAAUACUCAGCAUUGACGUGGAGCCAAGCAGAGUUGCAAGGAGCCUUCUCUGGUCCUUUCAGUGCAUGGUGACAGGGCUCUGUGUCCCAAGAGAAAGAGUGGUGAAGUGAAUGAGGAAACAAAUGCAUUUCUGUAGGUGAUGUAUUUUUUUCAAUUCAGAUGCUUUUUGAAGGAAGUAGGGGAGAAAAAUGUACUUCUCAAAUGUCAAGUACUUGAAAGACUAAAAAUAGAUCACCGGAAUAAAUAAAUUAACCCAGAAGAGAGGACUGAUGCUCUGCAGGCAUCAGGGAUUAAAUAAAUUCGCUAAAUUCAAAGUGGUAUUCCAGAUAAGAGCUCUUUGUGCUGCAGCAUGUACAGCUUAUUGAUUAUAGGAUUGAGGUGCUGUGCACUCUUGUAAAAUGUACUCCGGCUGAUACAACUUAAUCCUGUGGUAAUGUACAGCAUACAGCCCUGCACAACAAGCAUGGAGCUAGCUUAUAUUUUCUUGUUUAUUUUAAUUUUGUUCCUGCCUUCAUUUGCCGCACCACAUCUGUGCCCUCUCAUUCCCAGGCAGCACUCAGCAUAAGUGCUGAGGUGCCUUCAAACACACUGACUCAGCAUGAUAAGAGCUGUGCUGCCAAGCAGGAGCUGACAGGGAAGAGUCUGUGGGAACUUCCUCCUGUCACAUCCCCAUCCAGAGGAAGGUAAAGCCUGAGCACCAAAUUCUUUCCUUGUAUGCCAUGGGCUGGCUGCAAGGUUGGGACCCCAAGCACUGGUGAUGCCUAGUUGACACAAGGGGCAGAGCGUACAGAGACAUUCUCUCUGCAGACAUACAUGCAUCCAUCAAAGUGUUGGAAGUAUGCAUAACUAAGGUGAAAGCACUCCCUGUUGGAUUCUUCUGGGCAUGCAGAACAAGUAGAAAGCUUUGUAAGUCCUGCUGGGUGAAAGCAAGCCAUUCCAGAGUGAAAUUAUACACCUAAGUGCAUUUUGGUUAUCUUACAGUUAAUAUCCUCAAUCUCCAUCAUUACUAAAGAGAAAAACCAUCUCCUGAUAUGAGCUGGUGCUUACAGACAUGUCACAAGCACAAUGAAGGCCUAUCCUCAGCCUUCUGCUUGGGUGUCAGUGUGUUCCAUUGGUCUCAUCCUGCAUCACGUCCCCUCCUGAGCCCACAAACCCCAACCCUAGCAGUUGGAGAAGGCAGGGAGGGAAAGGAAGGAUGCACCUUGGCAUUGUCUGUGAUGGGCUCAUAGUUGGGCUCACACCUUUGCUCUCAGAAUGGAGACUCUCUGUUCAUACCUGUUCGCACAAAGAAGGCAACAGCUGUUUUCUGAAGUAGAGACACUACUCUCACCUUCCUGGCCAGAUGUGGAACAUCAAAGGAAGAUCUCCUGCCUCUACUGCUCAAACCAGAUCUUUGCAGGUUGCUCCAAAGAGCUGCAGACCUGUGGAGUUUUACCACAGGAUUUGUCGAGAAAGAUGACACAAUCCCAGUCUGCCAGUGGUGACAGAAAGCUGCAGAGCACAGCAGUGCUACUGUCAUGCUGGGAAGAUUUGGUGCAUCCCUUCUUGAGGUUGCUGCCCCUCACCUAGCCCCUUACCUUAAGGAAUUCCUGGUUGCUAGUUUUCUCAGUCACCAGUAAAAGUGUGGAUCUGACCAAGGAAAUUCUGUUAUCGUUAUUUUUUUUGCCUCCCCUGGGAGAAAGUGAUGCAGAGGAACAAUUUGAAUGAGGGAGCUGCAGAGAAUUCAUCUUUGGGUAGCAUCCCAACUCCCCAUGUCUCUCUCCCACCUAUUUGACAAAUCUCCCAUUAUCUUACUUCACCAAAAUCAAGUCUCUUAAUUUCAAGGCACAUAGAGUCUACUGUGUAACACUGCCUGUGUGUGUGAUCCACAAGGCCUAUACUUUAACACCCAAGAUUCAUUAAUAUUUCCUGCAGAGUGCUCAGCAAGUAGCAAAUAAAGCAGGAAGUGUCCCAGAUGUUGGGAAGAAAAAAUGGAAUAAUUCAUUGCUUACUAACGUCAAAUGCUAAUGUGAGAAAAGCAUCCUUGAAGAAAUCCUUGACUAAAAUUCAUCAGUGAUGUGAAAUCACUGUUUUAAUUAUGCAUUUUUGAAUGUAUUUAUUAGUCUCAGUACUGAUCUGACUUACAGAUGUUUAACAGUGAUAAGAGUCUACUGCAGUCUCUGGAAUUACUCAUGAUUUAUAAUGACAAAACUUGGAUCAGAAUUAGGUCCUUGUCAGUACUCUAUAAUAUCCUUUCAUCAGACUUCUUUACAUGCAACAGAUGAAAGAGGCCGUGGUUUCCACAAUUUCAAACCCUGCUGCUGACUCCAUCAACUUAUUUUUUUUAAGCUUCUCCUCCAGAAAUAAUGAUUCCCACACAAAAUUUUGUCUGUAUAAGGCAUACUUGCCACAAGAAAAACAUGAGGCCAAAAGACCUUUUAGUCCACCAAUAUGAUGUGUUCAAUUUUGUGCUGACUACAGAUGUUGCAUUUUAUUACGGGUGCUAGUUAAUUUAAUUGUGCCAGUGUAUAAUUUCAUUUGCUAUAUCCUUAUUGUUGUGAUUGUUAGAAUCUGCUCAAUAUUAGAGUUUAAACAACAAAAAAACCCAACAUCUUCCAUUCAAGAAUGAUUCAAAGUCAUGAUUUUGAAAAGAAUGAUUGAGUUUUAAACUAUUGCUUGUUCCAGAGCUGAUCCAGAAGGAGCAAGUCUCCAGGGAUGGUUUACUCCCUAAGGCAUGAAUGCAUAAUUAAGCUAAAUGUAUUCCAUAAAUGCCUUGAUGACAUUAAACUAAAUUUUUUAAAGAACAGAUGGAGAAAGUUAAUAAAUAUUUCAUUCUGUAAUAUAAAACUCACUUCUGUAUUCACAACUUCAGGGAUCCUCAGCUUCACAGAUAUCAAUAAGUCUGAUGGAUUUCUUGCUGCAUUCUCAUACUUCUGCCCUGGUGUCUCUUAUGGGAUCAUCAUUUCUGCAUGCUUGGAUUGUUUUAUGGGAUCAGUGAAAGGCAAGUGACUGUAAAUCUUGACCUCUUCUGCUCCUGGAUUAUAUACUUUUAUUCUUUGUGACCGUAAGUGUUCAUCUCUACACCGAAUAGAUAAUUACAUGACAAAAAUUAUUCAAAGAGAAUUUAUAGUGAGAAAUUAUCACUUGAGGAACUGAUGGGGCACAGGCAUAACCCAAAGAGAGCGAAAUUAAAAAAAAAAAAAAAGAAAAAAGAAAAAAAAAAGUUUAAAAAUGCCAGCUAAAUCACUGAAGUAUCAGUGUGUUUGUAAUGUCAUGAAGCAUCUACUCACUGGGGAAAAAUGCUCGAUUUUCACCUGUAUAUAACAAUUCUAGUCAAACGAAAUUCCCCUUAAUGGAAAUUAGUGUGAGUUUUACUUAAGAACCAUAGAACAAGCUUGCUAUUCAUACGAAAGAACUAAUCUUUACAUGUGGGAACUACAAUUUCUCACUCUGUGUAUGCAAUGAGUCUUGUAAAAGAGCAAUUAGAACUCCAAAAGGAAAGAAACACCAGACUUGAAUAAUAUUUUAGGAAGAGCAUUAACAAACAUUUUUAUAUUGCCAAGAGUCUUCGCUGCUUUCUAGAAGAGGUUUACAUUACAUUAUUAAUUAAAUAUACUGAGUCAGUAGUAUGACAUAAAGCUUUGGAAAUAUAUGUUUACCAUAAACUUUGACAUCCAUGAGAAAAGCAUGUAUUUUUAGUAAGUUUAAUUUAAAAUUUAUGCAGAUGAAUUCAGAAAGCAAGGGCCCAACAAACUACUUCAAAAUAGCAAGAUCUUGACUGAAAAACACAAGAUCAACUCUUUGUCAUUUCUCAAGUGUCUACAAGCCUUCACAUACACAGAAUAAAUGACAUCACCUCCUGAAUUUAGAUCAUUUUACAUAGCAUUAGUAUGCAUUACUCUUAGUGGGACCACUUUAACCUGUCAGACAAUGUACACUUGCGCAAUUGCAAGAAUUAAAAAAUAUAUAAAUUGUAUAUAAUAAGUCUUUUCAGAGCUGGCUCUUAUGCUAGGUGGAAUACAACAGGGUCCCCUGGUGAGCUGGCUGACAAACUCUACCAUAAAAACAAACAAACAAAAAAAAAUCAUAGCAUCAUUGUUCCCGUUUUCUUUCCCCCAGCUCUAAUUUUCAGUUUUGGAUUGCAAAUUUCCACAGCUCUCUGUUCAGGCAAAAUCUUAAAUGCAUCGUAGCACAGUGCUUUAAAGAAAUACUAAUUAAUACAUCUCAUGUUGCAUACCACAGAAAUUAGUUUAGUCAUUAUUAAGAGUUAGGUUAGGCAUAGGUACAUUUGUAUCUUCAGAAUCAAGGCUUUUAAUGAAAAAAACUCUCAUGUUUCCAGACAUUCCAUUAAAAUGGUUGUCCUUUGACGUCAAUUAGAGCUAGCUAAAAAAAAAUCAUCCUUAAUUGCUUCUCAGAAAAGAUGUCAGAGCAUACACCCCCACAGCCACAUUCGAUUACCUCUUAGAGGAAACGAGGAUGCUGGGAAUGCUGGGAACCUCCAGUGCUGCUGAACACGGAUGGGCCGCGCUGGCAGUGCCGAGCCAUGGUGACUGCUGGCCACAGUGGAGGCUGGUCCUCCCACCUGAAACUGCUGCACAGUCCAGAGAGAUGCCUACAGGACUGAGAGUGUUUGCAUGCUAAGUGCUCCACCCUGCCUCCAAAUAACGCUGACUUCAAUCACGCACCUACGCCAAUAUUUACAGCUACAAAAAGGACAUAAUCUUCAAAACUUGUGUAUGUUUCAUUACAAGGAGCAUCAACAGUUUUCUCCAAGAGUUUCUCAGCACCUUUUCUUACUCAAGUGACUCUGUCAUUUCUCUGCCGAUCAGGAAGAAGAGGAGCCCAGAGAGCAGCGACAGGGGCACGCCGGCGGCAGCAAGGAAGAAGGACCAGCCAUAUAACACGUGUACGGGAGCCUCCUGCAGGCACACCUCGCUCCUCUCCAGGAGGAUGUACUUCUGGAAAUCGGCCACAAGCUCCUUCCACAGCACAAAGAGGAAAAUGAGCAGGAGAAAUAAACUUCCUGAGAAGAGAGACAAAGGCUAGUGUUCCAGAAUGGUGACAUUUGUCAGGUUUUCCCUGACAAAGAAGGCAGGAAAAGAGGAAAAGAGAAGAGAUGCUCUUUCAAAUAUCAGAUCCUUUUUUCAGCAGAAAUACAAGACCUGUGGACUGGUCCUACUGGUGGCAAGCACUGUCUGUUGCUGAACCUACUGCAAGCAGUGCCACACAGACUUCGGCUGGUUGCCCCAGCUCACAGAAGUGCCCCUUCAUGUCCUAAUGGCCACGAUACAUCAGCCUCACAUGAGCAACUCAAUACCAAAGUCAAACAGCCAAUUCCAGAGGCCAUGGAGUCUUUUUACGACUCAGCGUUAGCAUGUGAGACCUCCAUGAGCCAGGUGGUGAAGGACUGAGGACACUCCAGGCCUCAAGGUCAAAAUCUCCCUCAGCAGCUCUCCCAUCAGACCCAGUGCUUUUUAUUUCUGUACAUACCCCAUAGAAGGCCUUGGAGGUCAACCCUCUCACGUCUGAAAAGCACGUGGAGGGCGGGCACCUCAUUUUGCUAUUCUGAUUGCAACACCCCAUAACUCACAGUGAUGAGGAUCUGCAUGAAGCAGACAACAAAAAAAAAACCAGUGUGGUCGCAAUGUUACUUGUUUCAUUGCAUUAAAGAAUAUAUAUAAUGCAUUUAAAAGUCAACAUAUAUUAACAUUAAAUGGUGACGGUGUGACAAAAGAUCUGAAGCUACAUCAGUAAUAUCUUAUCUCACCACAUCACAGCUAGAAACUUGCCAUUUUUUAACAGUGCUAUAUAACAUAUAGACAGACACACACACGCAUACAUAUAUGGAAGAAAUACGUCAGAGAUGAUGGUAUGUUCAUAAUAGAAGUGAACAGUUAGAAAUUAAUACAGUUGACAAGUCAUUGCACAGUUUUGUGGACGCGUUCUGGCAUUUCAUUCCUCCCCUUGCAAUUUUUAAACUAAAGGUAGCUUGUACUAUAUUUAAUUAUUCCCCCCAGCAGCUUAUGCACUACAAAAUCCAGCCUUCAUGCUAGGCAAAGGCUGUGGGUAUGGCUUGGCAUUGAUCUAUCUGCUUAGGAAUGGAGCUUAGUGAAACUUUGCUUGAAGGAAACACAGCAGUGUUGGGCUGUUUCUGCUCAUGGUGAUAUAAGCACAUAUUGCUAUAACAUCCUGCUUCACAUCUUGUAGCCUGGAAUGAGGGUCCAAAACAUUCCUCAAUCCUCACUAGCAGUUGUAUAGAAGUUGAAGCUACUCAUACUGAGCUGUCAUAUUUAUUAAACUGCAUCCUAUGCCCUAGGACUGGGAAUUGAAUCUUAAAAAUCAAAAAUUUGUGUAACUGUAUCAACACACUUCACAUCACCACACUCUGCUAUCUCAGACCGUUCUCCCUCCCAUAGACAAGUCCUCAUGGGCACUGCAAAGGCAGGCUAGGAGUUAAACAGCAGCUGGUGUAACAUUUGCAUGUUCAUUGAGAUUGUGAUACCACUUGAAAUUACAUGCACAAAUAAAUAUUUUACACUUAAUAUGAUAGUUGUAUGUUUAAAAUACCAAUUAUUCUACUUUAAGAAAAUGAUUGAAUGCUUAAAUAGUCACAUGUUCUUUACAAAAUACAAUAUAUUGAUAAGAAGGCAAUUAAGCCUUUAUUACUGAUGUAAUUUAAAAUUAAAUUAAUUAGAUAGCAACUGAACCUUGAAAAGUGCUCUUUUAAAGAUCAAUUUAUAUUUCAUUAACUUAUAAUACCUACUGUAAAAGACACAAAUAAAAAAAAAAAAAAGUAGUCCCAGAGGAACAGAGGACAUGGGUAUGGCAUUUUUUUUUUCCAGAAUUUUCCGUUUUUCUUUAAGUAACAUUUUGUUGUUGUUGUUGCUGUUUUAUCCCUGGGCAAACCAGAUUAUCUGAGGCUCAUUUUCUGACCAAAGCCUACCUGCACCUGUGCAGCUGCUGGGGAAUCUUCAAAGAAUGUCACUGCUUUGUCAUUAAACAGGUGGUGGAGGUGAAGGCACAGCCACAGACUUGGCACCAAAAUUCAGAACAUUACGACAAGAAAACGCAAAGUGAUUUCUUUCCUAGGAUAAUCACUCUGGAGUUGCAAGGAGUCCCUGGGAUUUAUACAGUCUCCACAGUGAGAGAGUCUUCCACAGGAAACCAAAAGCCACCACCUUUGGAUGCUUUUUGUAGCAGCUGUAGCAGAAAGACAUCUUCAUUUCACACUUGCCCCAAACAGCUUCCUAAAUGCAGGAAGUGAUUUCUUGGAAUCUUGGUCAGCAAACUGAAAGAAACUUUUUUUUUCAGUACCACUCUGUCAAGCAGCAAACCCAGCAUGCCUCUUUGAUUCCGUUCAUUAGGCAGGGACAGAAAAAAUUAACUGCAAAACUCAGUCUCCGGACUGAUGAGAUCAGUAGCACCUUGCAGGAAGGAGCAAAUUGCAGGCAGACUGGAGUGGGGCAUUCAAUCUCUCCUCCAUCCAGGGCUAAUUACAAGCCACCUGAACCUAGGAGAGCUGCUUCCUACUGGUGAGUGAAUGGAAGUCUGCCUUCUGCUUUCUCUCACUUCUUAUCCUUAUGAUACCUUUAUAGCCCUUAAGUGUAGGGACAGGUGAGUGAACUCAGUCUUUAAUUCUUAUUCUGUGGAAGCUCCUGAACUUUCAUGUAAUCUCCUAAUUGUGAGAAAAAUGAACUUUGACAAUCAGCAACUCGUUUGCCUCUUUGGGAUGUUCACAAUAAGGAAAUGGAGGAAUGACCUUCAGCUGCCUUUUCCCAUCCAUCAGUUUCUGCUGCUCACAGAGGGCCUGAGACUUUCUGAAAUGAUUUGGGGCCAGGUGUGCUGGAGAACUAGCAUGGGGACCACAGUGGCUGGAAGAAGCAUAGAUUGCAUAUUUACCAGUAUUUCUGCCUUUCCAGGGGAGCUGGUGAUGAGCUCCUGUUGGUGUUCCUUAGCAUCACCCAGGACACAGCAGGACAAUUCCUCCCUCCAGCAGCUGAGCUGCCCCAACACUGGUGAUGCCUAUUCUCACUUGUAAGCAUGGCUGCUAAAACACCCAAAGGAAACCAAGGAGCACAAGGGAAUACAAGCCAGGAAUUUCAAUACAGAUGCGAUGCAGCAUUUGCCUAAUGUCAUUGUGAUGCUAGUUAAGUGUAUUGCCACCUGGCAGUUUUUAGAAGGGAUGAUGAGGAAAUAAUGAGGGGUGCAUCCUGCAUCCAUUUGGACAUUAUUUUCAAGCACGAUUGAUAAGCUUGAGUUCAGUAACAAAAAAGAAAAAUUACAAUAAACAGCUGAAACCCUAAGUGAACUCUCCUGAAAAGAUAUUGCAUAAUUCUAGCUUUCAUUUAGAUCAAAAACGUAACUUGGGGAGGGUUUGGGUGCUUGAGCCCUAUCUCAGCCACUUCAGCUCAUGCACACAUCAGAUUGCCAGCACUGAUCACCAGAAGGCACUGGCACCUAAUGAAGGUCUGAGAGCAAGAUAUCUUGCAUUCCCAAAUGAAAUUUCUACAUGUGCAACCACAUAAAAUUUACCUUUAGAAAAAAAAUUAAACCCAACUGAGCAUUUAUUAAACUGUAUAAGAGAGAGAUAAGCGGAUACCCACAGGCUUGCUGGGCUUACUUCAAUAACUGAGGACCCAGAGGCAAAUGGAAAAUUGGACAAAAUGCAAAGCAAAUUAGCAGAGGCAGGUAGGGCCACAUUGAUUUAGUGCCUCCCAGAUUUUUUAGUCAAAUAGAUAGAUGCAAUCUAGCUUCAUGUUAACAACCAUCUCAGGUGGAAUCACGUGGUUAAUUAUUAGUACAUCUGGAGAAGAUGGAGACUGGGAAAGAGCCUGUGAAACAGAAAGGAAGCUAAAUAACUGGGGGAAAAAAAGUAAAAGAAAAUAAGGGGAUAAUAAGGGGAAUGUGAGUGGAGUUCUUCCAGACUUCAUUUUGGGACUUCUCUUGUUAAGUCAUUUUCAUGAAUGUUUUUGAGUCCAAAAAGCUUAAGCUCACAAAAAGCCCAAAAUGGCAGAAAAGAUGCUAGCUUGUGUUUGAUUCAUUCAGUGCUUGAGGAAUCAGAACCUGGUGCAGGGCCCAUAAUUAAGCAAAAUUAAUUUCAGAGGAAGGCUUGAGUUCAUUACAAAGUUAUUCACUUGGCAGCACUCAUCAGAGCUCCAACCUUUAACUGCUUGCAUUGUGGGGAAAAAAAAAAAAAGCUUUUUUUCUAAGUUUGAGUCACAGUUAUAAAUCAAGUACUUCUCCAGUUAUUCCCUCUCAAAUACAGAAAAGGCCCAAGUGAUAAUUCACUGGACUAAUUUGUAGUGGUAGUGGGGAUUAUGAAUCAAUGCCUAUUUUUAAUUCAUUUCCUGCUGUGACACUGCUUUAUCUUUACAGAUUUUAUUAAAAACCAGGCCUCCAGUUUUGAACUGCUGGGUAUGCCUUUCAUUGCAUGGUGGUUCUCCAGGUUCUAGCAGAGCAAGGACAGAAGAGGCUCAAAUAUGAAGGCACACUGGCAGAGAAGAGCGUGGCUGAUCACUGCCUGGGAUAAAUGCAACUACUAACAUUACCCAAAUAAAAAGGCUCUGGAUAUCGUACAAGGCUGUAGUGGAAAAAAAAAAAAGUAGUAUGUUUCCCAAUUCCCAGGCUCCGUAGGACUAAGAACUAUCUUUCUAAAGCUUGGCUCAGCAUAGAAAUUUAUUUCCACUUGGGGAAGGGGAACAUUUAUUCCAAUUCACCACUGCUGCCAUCAGAAAACCAAUCCCUCCCCAGCAUCCCUGGAGACCACCGCAUCACUGUUUGCCACUCAUCGCUGUGUGCCUCCCCAUCAUUGGGUACCACCCCAUUCCUUUGUGUGCAGUAGGCUGCGCACACUCCUUUCUGUCCCGUGUGUCUGAUUUCCACUGUUGGCUUACCUGAGGCUAUCAGGAACCCGCCGCCCACUUUGUAGGACCUGGCACUGACAAAGGGCACACCACACACCAGCAGCAGUCCUCCCACCAGGCCAGCAGCAACAGCCAGUAUGAUGAACGCCGUCCAGAAGCCUCUGUACACUGCAUGAAAGCCAAAAAGAAGAGUCAGAGAAAAAGGAAGGGAAGCUCAUCUGGGCUUUUAGAAGGCUGUGAGGAUCUCCUCCAUCAAUGCCAGCUUGGGCAACAAAAUGAUGGUGAGCACUGGGGUCAUGAGCAGUUUCUCCAGCGGGGAGCUGCUGCUGGUGUUGAGCAGGGCUGUAGUCAGUAUGUUGUUGUGUGGGUGCAGAAUGCAAGUUUGGGCUGUGUGUCAUGAUCUAACAUGAGAUUGGAAUGAGAACAUGGAGCUGAAAGUGUUUGCAAGGAGACCACACCAGAGAGUAUGUGAGAAGGGAGGACAGUCCCAGGUGUGGGCAGUGAGGGCUCUUCAGGUACAAACUCUCCAAACCUUCUCCCAUUUCCCCCAGUUUGUCCAGUCUGCUCAGACCACCAGCUCCCACUGCUCCCAUUGCUUUUUGUUGCUCAGAAGCUCAAGUUAGAGAGAUUUGAGCUGAGCAUGAGCAAACAGCAAUGCUGAAAUGACUCACACUUGAAAGAAAAAUGACACAGAGAAGAUGCGUUUUGCUCAUUUUAAGCCAUUUUGUCAGGAGAGCCACUUAGGGAGAGAUAAGUAUCUUGAACUCUCCGAAACCACAGAAUUCAUUUUAAUGUUUAACCUCCCGUCACCCAUUUCUCUCAGGGAAGCCUAAGAGGAUGCAGAUAAGGCAGAAUUAUCUCUGGCGCAGGUAAUAGCUGGAGGACCCACUUCUUGGACAGCCUCCUGUUUUGUCAUAAUUUGCAUCUGAGUAUGGACUGGCUGGGAAUAAAAUAAAAGUGUAUGUCAGAAAAGCCUGCUCCAUGCGCAUUGCCCAACACUUUGCAGUGUGGUUGGUGCAGAUCCCAAUUCCAAGAAUGAGGGUGCUGAGAUAUCCCCAGCUCCAUACCAACAUGUCCCCAUGUCCAUGCCAUCACGUCCUCAUCUGGUGCCAACGUGUCCCCAUCUCCCCAGGGAUGAGCUCAUCAAGACCAGUUCAGCAGCAGGACUGCAGCAGCCUCAGCACCGGAGCUGUCCCCAAAAGGCAUUUUGGAGGCAGCUGCAGAGGCUGCAUAGCACAGGCUGAUGGGCAGCGACAGAUGGCUGAAGGGCUCUUUAUUUAGCACAGAAAAAUCCCUGUGUUUACCAUUGAGAUCAUUCAAAAACUGGAGUUGUACCACUCCCUCCUAAGCAGAAAAAUAAGCCAACAUUUGCCCAUGUGCCUGCCAUACACAGCCCACAAUGGGCUUCUCUUUCUGCCAUCUAUUUCACAUUUCAGUUUGCUCCUGGAGGCAGGGAUCCGACACAGCAAAGGAGUGAGAUGCUCUCCCUCACAUGCUCCUACUGACAAAUAUUUUUUUUUUAAUUAAUUUCUCGUAAAAAAAAAAAAUAAAUAAAAAAAAAAGGUACUGCUAAAGGCUAAGGAAAAGGUCAAGAUGUUUGUUUGUGCAGUAUGCCUGCCCCGGAUCCCCCGAGGCAAUGCAGAGUGAUGCACACUAUUUAAAGAAAUCAAUUCAUUUCCAAAAAGAUCAUGGAAUUAAUUCUAGCUGCUGCCACCAAUUUAGCAAAUUAAAAUUCCUAGCAGCAGCUGAUUCAUUAAAGAACUCUGAAAAUACAGAGAAACAUAAAUAAAAAGGGAACCAGUUGAAAGGAGAGCUUUCCAACUGUGUCGUAUUCGAGGUAUUAAAAAUAAGUGCGAUGGAUCUUCCGACAAUUUGGUCUUUAACUGAUUUUCCAGUGUUUGUUUAUUUUGUCUUGCAACAAAUCAAUGCUGGCGCUCUCCCAGGAAGCCACUCGAGGCCACUUUGCAAGGGGCUUCCCUGGUCAUGGUUGGCCAUGAGGAUUGGCAAUAGGACACACGUAGCACACAACAUGCUUCCCGGCCCCACGGCUUGAAAAUGGAGCUGGGAAAUGACCCACCUGCAGUCGUGUCAUAGGAGGGAUGUGGGAAAGGCCCCAGGACGAUGGGCAUGGGGAACAGGUAGCCGUGCAUGCAGUGCUUGGGGUGCGCUUGGCUGGCUGCAAAAGAACAACAAAAUAUUUGCUUUAAUUUUGUGCAAAACUACAGUUAAGCUGUUCAGAUGGCAAACUGACAUCAAUAUUCCCAUUGCUAUUUUGCUCCAGAAACCACCUGCAAGGGGAGAAGGGGUUUGGGUACCAGAGCCAGGGUACCUUUCCUUUCCUCGGUUGGUAAGAAAGGAAAGCACAAUUAGAAUGGACGUGCCCCAUCAAUAUUAAUACCACUGAGACUUAUCGUGAUUAACAGUAAUAGAAUGAAUGUUAAAUGAAUUAAUUAAUGAUUGGACACUUAUUUAAAUAUGUUCCCCAGCUCAAAGGAACACUUUAUAAUAGGUGGACAUUAGUUCAUGCUAAAUUGACUAUGGAAUACCUAUUGAAUUAAUUAUUACAUCCACGAGAGCAGCAAAUUAAUUUGCCAUGAUCAAUCCUAUUAUAAUAAAUACCUAAAGAAGUAAUAAAAAUUUGCCAGCUAUCAGAAAGAGUCAUUUUACUUCAGGUAACACUGUAUCGUAUAAUGUAUUCCUGUAUAAUGUUAGAUAGCAAGCUCCCUCUCUCCAGCCUUUUUCAUCAAAAAAAUUCCGUGUGAAAAACUCUGCACUGUUCUACUGAACAGUGGCAGUAACAGUUCUACAGAAAACAGAGGUCAGGGUCAGAGGGACAGCAAAACCAUCUGAAAUUUUAACCACCAGGGAAUAAACAGAUUGUGGGAACCUGCAUUAUUUUCAGCCAAAUCCCUCAGUAGGGUUAUCCUGCUGCUCCAUGAGCCUGUAAGCAUCUCUGAGCAGAGCGAGCAGAGGGUCAGGGCCUUUGCAAUGUUGAAAACCUUGGCAGACCUUUUUUUUUUUUUUUUUUGCCUCUGAAUAUGUUUCACCUUCUUCGAUUUUUUCUUAAACAUGAACAUGCUUUCAGAAAAUAAUGAUUUUGCAUCACUCUGCUUCUUUGCAGUGAAAUCCUCAUGUUUGUGAC